CUACGGAGGGGGUUAGCGUUGUUCGGAAUUACUGGGCGUAAAGCGCACGUAGGCGGAUUGGAAAGUUGGGGGUGAAAUCCCAGGGCUCAACCCUGGAACUGCCUCCAAAACUAACAGUCUAGAGUUCGAGAGAGGUGAGUGGAAUUCCAAGUGUAGAGGUGAAAUUCGUAGAUAUUUGGAGGAACACCAGUGGCGAAGGCGGCUCACUGGCUCGAUACUGACGCUGAGGUGCGAAAGCGUGGCGAGCAAACAGGAUUAGAAACCCUAGUAGUCC
rnacentral:rRNA from 1 species